rnacentral:snRNA from 1 species
AGCUUUGCACAGUGGCAGUAUCAUAGCCGAUGAGGUUUAUCCGAGGCACAAUUAUUGCUAAUUGAACUUGGUGUCAAUGCAACAUGGAAUUUUGGUUUUGUCCUCUCCUGAAUUUCAAAGUGACUGGCUCCCAAGGCUUCAGCUGUCUGCUUGUAAAGAUUUGUUGUAAACUUUGCCCGUUUAAAUCGUGAA